rnacentral:lncRNA from 1 species
GUGAGUAUUUUACACACGUUUAUCCUCGGUCUGUUUUCUGUUGUUUACAGUUGAACAAUCUUAAUAUCAAUGCUACAGGUUCAUCUUCAGUGCUCAUAUGAAAGCGUUUUUGUUGAUAAAUUCCCAGCACACUUCAUUCUUUUUUCUAUCAUGAGUUCCUGAUGAUAAAAAUGCACACUUCUCAUAUCAAACAUUUUUUUGUAGUACCUGAAAUUGAUUUUACUAUCUGUGGUUCUAUUUCCUGUAGAACAGAGGUGUCUGCAUUUUUUCUCAUUUGAGGAAAAGCGCAUUUUCUGCCUCUGGUAUUAUUAGUCCUAAAGUCUGUAAACUCUGAGGCUCACUAUUUGUUUUCACUGCAUCAGCAC